rnacentral:rRNA from 1 species
AUUGAACGCUGGCGGCAUGCCUUACACAUGCAAGUCGAACGGCAGCGGACCUUCGGGUGCCGGCGAGUGGCGAACGGGUGAGUAAAGUAUCGGAACGUACCCUAGAGUGGGGGAUAACUAUCCGAAAGGAUAGCUAAUACCGCAUAUUCUAUGCGUAGGUAAGCGGGGGAUCUUCGGACCUCGCGCUCUAGGAGCGGCCGAGAUCAGAUUAGCUAGUUGGUGGGGUAAAGGCCUACCAAGGCGACGAUCUGUAGCGGGUCUGAGAGGAUGAUCCGCCACACUGGGACUGAGACACGGCCCAGACUCCUACGGGAGGCAGCAGUGGGGAAUUUUGGACAAUGGGCGCAAGCCUGAUCCAGCCAUGCCGCGUGAGUGAAGAAGGCCUUCGGGUUGUAAAGCUCUUUCGGCCGGGAAGAAAUCGUGUGGGCUAAUAAUCUGCAUGGAUGACGGUACCGGAAUAAGAAGCACCGGCUAACUACGUGCCAGCAGCCGCGGUAA